CUUUUUGCUAGUGAGAUUAUUGGGGUGCACACAGAAGAGCGUUCGGGAGUGACGCCUUUACCUCACCAGGUGAUGCGUCUCUGAUUGGGAUGCACCUCUCGAGGGCUCGGGUGUUGGCGGGUUAUCCAUGGGGGCGAGUUUUAGAGCAUCCAGAGCCAUCUAUACUUCACAUUUUCAACUGACCGAAAAAUUGUUGUAUUCACUUUUUUUUUCGUUUUUUUUUCUGAUUUUAGGUUACACAAUGACGAGGUGAGAAAUUUGUUUUAAACAGGUUAGUUUGUUUUGGCGUCUUUAUUUUGACGGGUAUAAGUGAUAGGCGACAAAUGGGAAAGUUUUCAGCUUUUUUUUUUUUUUUUCAAAUUGAAUGUUGAGCUCAAUUACGCUGUCUCCAUGGCGACUUCGGAUUCUGAAGAAAUAAUAAUUCUAUGGAUACACUGAAAACUUAUUUGAUGAGCGGAAUACGGUUUAUGUACUUACGCUGUUCGUCUUCCUCGUUAAACAUGAAUUCAUCUUGGAUGUCCUUCAGAUACUGCGUAGAGCGCGUUUCAUCCAGAAAUAACGAGUACGCCUUUUUAAUAUCUUCGACAGCAAUCUUUUCACGGGAAAUGGAGGAAAGAAUAGCUAAUAAAUAAGACGAGCACUUCAAUAACAAUUUGGGUACCGACCUCCAUAGGCUUUUCGCUUGCGCGCUAUGAGAUUGGCAACUGUGAUGAGCUGAAUGGCGUAACGUAAGCUUGUUUCCAUGGAAAGCCUUGUCAGAACGAGAAGUGCAUCUUCCUGCAUCUCUGCAUCUUCCUCUUCACACCUGUUCAAGGAAAAGUCGUAAUUAGGAUCCGUUUCACGUAAAUCGCUUAAAAAUACAACUCGCCUGAUCUUCAGAAUCUGUUUCAUCUCUUUUUCCUCGUAGGGUUGGGUGGCGAUAAUGACCAUACGAUCGAGUAAAUCAAUAGGAAUGCCAUGAGGGGACCGAUAUUUUGUUCCACGAAUUUUCGUAAUUCCACGAUUGGUAGCCAUGAUCAAUACAGGCGCCAUAUCGUCUUCCAGGGCACGAUUCAAAAAGGAAAAACAUUCCAUAUCGAGCAUAUGGACCUAAGGGACACUUUAGUUAGAAAUGCAUCCCGAAAAAAAAAAAAAAAAAAAAACAAAAAAACGUAAAGUUGGUUCACACUAGUCAUACUUCAUCAAUAAAUAAAACUCCAGGGACGAUUUCCGCCUUUCCUUCUUCACGCCAUUCGGCUACUUUACUAUUUAUCUGGUCGCGAACUUCGGAUUUGAUUUCGCCAGUGUCCCCUAUUGGUUGGAUGUCAAAUGGAGAUUAUUUAAAUUUCAAGGCCGAAAAAGCAAACAUCUCAGCUCACCGGAGAAGAGGGCGAGAAAACCCUGAGUUCUGCUAUUGAUUACAUCAAUCUCGUGCAAGGUGACUGUGUGAGUCACUUCUUUCCGCUUUUGUAAUUCACCUACGCAAAUAGACGAAAUGUGGCGUAAGUAUAUUGUGUCACACCGCAAGGAAACACGUGACCAAAAUGGUGAGUUUACCUUCCGGACAUUGAACGAAUCUAGUUUGAGGCCCAGUGGCAUCAUAAUCUCUAGCCCUAGUGAAUGAUCGCCCAAGUUUCGAAAUUUUGCCGGUGGCUUUGUCUAUCGUAAUGACGUCUCCAGCUUGUGCCUAUGCCAUGAAAGAAGGUAAGGUGAAAAGUCUUUACAACAUUUACACCACAGUUUCCCACCUUUUCCUUGAUGAGGGAUUCAAUCAUUUUGUUUCCCAAAUCAUAGACUGUUUCCAUGUCUGUUGUUUUCAAGGUAAGCUUUCCCACUUUAGCACCAGUCCCAGUUGCAGGUCUAUCAAUUUGGACUUCAACAACCUCACCCUCAAUAAUCUCUGUUUCUUCCCUGUUGAAAACAAAUAAAGAAAAAUGUCAACUGAGAAUUUUGUACUAAAACAGUUGUUGAUCAUAGAACCAUACUUGAUACGGACUCCAAUGGAUUUGCGAAAAGCUUGGGUUAGAGCUUCAGUUUUGCUCAUUUCAAGGCUGUAAAUCUCUGAUCCAGCCAUAGAUGUGAAAGGUGUAUUGUCACCAAGAGCCUGUGCCAUACCCAUGGCAAUUGCAGUUUUCCCUAAAAGAUAAACCAUAUUACUAGUGAUGACACACAGUUACUUCACUUUUAUUUGUGAUUUAGAACAAACUAACCUGUUCCUGGUUGUCCAGCGAUCAAUACAGCUCUGCCUGCAAUUUUUCCUUCUCUGAUCAUUUCCAGAACAACGCCAGAGGCUCUUCGAGCUGUCAACUGGCCAACCAUACCUUGAGACACCUGAAAAUGGCAUUAUUACAUGAUGACCAGAAAUUUAUGGGUAUUCAUUAGCAGAAUUUUGAUUGAUAUACCUCUCUUGGUUCCAAAGCAUCAUCAAGUCCGAAGGCCUCGAAUGUGAGAAUGUGUGCCGAUUCGUUCAAUACGGGAGAAUUCCCGAACUUCUGCUACUUUAACUGAAGGAAUGGCCUAUGUAUUAAAAGAUUUCAUCGAAAAAGCCAUGGAAAUGUGAGAAAAAUGUACAAAAUCAGACUUCAGUUUCCUAACUUCUGUAACAAGCCGUCGGUGGUAACCAUGGAAACACGUUUAAUUUUGACGAUUGUUUCACGAAUCUUCACCCCUCUUUAGUAUUCUAUUUUGUGUCUCUGUUUAAAAUAAUUUAACAUUUUUGUGAAUAAACCGGUUGUAAUUUUAA
rnacentral:lncRNA from 1 species